GACAGAGGGUGCAAGCGUUGUUCGACAUCACUGGGCGUAAAGGGCACGUAGGCGGCGAAGUGUGUCUGAUGUGAAAGACCUUGGCUCAACCAGGGAGGUGCAUUGGAAACUACUUUGCUAGAGUGCGAGAGAGGAUGGCAGAAUUCCCAGAGUAGAGGUGAAAUUCGUAGAUACUGGGAGGAAUACCUGAGGCGAAGGCGGCCAUCUGGAUCGUAACUGACGCUGAGGUGCGAAAGCAUGGGGAGCAAACAGG
rnacentral:rRNA from 1 species